rnacentral:rRNA from 1 species
CACGUAGGCGGCCUGGUAAGUCAGAUGUGAAAGCCCGGGGCUUAACCCCGGAAGUGCAUUUGAUACUGUCAGGCUUGAGUAUGGGAGAGGGAAGUGGAAUUCCUGGUGUAGAGGUGAAAUUCGUAGAUAUCAGGAGGAACACCGGUGGCGAAGGCGACUUCCUGGACCAAUACUGACGCUCAGGUGCGAAAGCGUGGGGAGCAAACAGGAUUAGAUACCCUGGUAGUCC